UACAGAGGGUGCAAGCGUUAUCCGGAUUUAUUGGGCGUAAAGCGUUUCGUAGGCUAUUGGGUAAGUUACUUUUCAAAGACCACGGCUCAACCGGGGGAAGGGGAGUAAUACUGCCUGGAUUGAAAUAUGGUGGGGCUUCUGGAACUGAUGGUGUAGUAGUGAAAUACGUUGAUAUCAUCAGGAACUCCGAGGGCGAAGGCAGGAAGCUAACCAUUUUUUGACGCUGAGGAACGACAGCUAGGGGAGCGAAAGGG
rnacentral:rRNA from 1 species